rnacentral:rRNA from 1 species
UACGGAGGAUCCAAGCGUUAUCCGGAUUUAUUGGGUUUAAAGGGUGCGCAGGCGGAUUAGUAAGUCAGUGGUGAAAGCCUACAGCUCAACUGUAGAACUGCCAUUGAUACUGUUAAUCUUGAGUAUAUUUGGAGUGGGCGGAAUGUGUCAUGUAGCGGUGAAAUGCUUAGAGAUGACACAGAACACCGAUCGCGAAGGCAGCUCACUAAACUAUAACUGACGCUCAUGCACGAAAGCGUGGGGAU